CCUACGGGAGGCAGCAGUGAGGAAUAUUGGUCAAUGGGCGGAAGCCUGAACCAGCCAAGUAGCGUGCAGGAUGACGGCCCUACGGGUUGUAAACUGCUUUUAUACGGGAAUAACGCGCCUUACGUGUAGGGCUUUGCAUGUACCGUAUGAAUAAGGACCGGCUAAUUCCGUGCCAGCAGCCGCGGUAAUACGGAAGGUCCGGGCGUUAUCCGGAUUUAUUGGGUUUAAAGGGAGCGUAGGCCGCAUGUCAAGCGUGCUGUGAAAUGUCCGGGCUCAACCCGGGCCUUGCAGCGCGAACUGGCGUGCUUGAGUCCGCGGAAAGCAGGCGGAAUUCGUCGUGUAGCCGUGAAAUGCUUAGAUAUGACGAAGAACCCCGAUUGCGAAGGCAGCUUGCUGCAGCGGAACUGACGCUGAUGCUCGAAAGCGCGGGUAUCGAACAGGAUUAGAUACCCCGGUAGUC
rnacentral:rRNA from 1 species